CGAGGUCCUCUUCCAGGAUUGGCUGCCUCCUCAUAACCAUAAGAUAAUUAAAACUUGGGGGGAGGGCAGGGUUAAAAAAACUUUUUUUUUUUUUUUUUUUUUUUAUCAGCAGAGGAUAAUGCAAGUGUUUAACAGAUGCUUCGCUAUUAAACUAUUUUUUCCCCCAAGUCUCAAAUAUUGAAGAAUCUCUAACCAGGGACAGCAGCCCCAACGAAGACCUCGGCAGAUUGCAAAGUGCGGGCACCUCGAUUCCCCGAAUCUGUAGUGUGGCUGGUAUCGGUGUUCCUCUGGUUUAACUAGCCUGUUUGGCAUAACAAAUGAGACCCAAGUGCUCAUAGAACAUUCCAAAGAGUCAACAGAGAGAAGUGGAAACUAUUAGAAACAUGAUUGUGUUUGCAAAGGGAGACAUAAAUGUAAGCUUAGCUUGGCCAAAAUCUUAAAUUUAAGCACUGAAUCUAAUUACAGACCUACAUACAAAAAAGAUGUUUAGAAGUUGAUUCCGUGUAAUAGAUGUUACCUGCACGACUACUGGAAGCAUUUGAGUUUACUUAGUUAAAUAGAGAAGGGAAUGAUUAUCUCAUUUUCUUCAAACCAGGACAAAUUUGAUUUCUACACCAGAAUCUAGAAAACUGAAAGAAAUCAACAGGGAAAUGUUUAAAAAGAUGGGGAAAUUGAGGCAGAGAAAUCAAGACAUUUGCUGCAGGUCGUGCAGGCUAUGAAUGGAGCUGGAAUGUGAACGCAGGCCGUGUGACUCCAGAGCCCAUGUUCUUGAACUCUUAGGAAGACAGCAGCAACGUACCUGGUGCAGCAGCUGCUUAGCUGGAGUGGCUGACAAGGUUGGGAGAGGGUCCUGUUCCUCCAUGGAGUGGCUGCCGAGACACUGCUUACACCAAAGCUGCUUCUAUUCCUGAAAUAUGGAUUGUUAUUCUUUUCCCAUCCUUGUUGAACAUGAUACUCUUUUGUUCUUUCCUAUUCUCUUCUUUCCUUCCAGAUGGCUUCUACGGUUUUUAUGAUUCUGUAAUUCUAAGGAAGAAAGGAUAAUGAAAGUUGUAA